GGAUGUUAGGGCGAUCUGGCUGCGACAUCUGUCACCCCAUUGAUCGCCAGGGUUGAUUUGGCUAAUCUGGCUGGCUAGGUGGGUGUCCCCUUCCUCCCUCAAUGAUCCAUGUGCGUCCCUUCCGAAGCUGUGUGCUCAGUCAAAGAGGACGACUGCCCAAUAGAGGAGGACCGUUCCUCGGUCAAGGGUGUACGAGUAGCUGCACUCCCCUGCUAGAACCUCCAAACAAGCUCUCAAGGCCCUGAGUUGAAUCCUUGGCACCACAAAAAAUAAUGAAACUAUAGCCCCUGAAUGAAUAUGAUUAAAAAUCAACUCAGG
rnacentral:snRNA from 1 species